UACAGAGGGGGCAAGCGUUGUUCGGAAUUACUGGGCGUAAAGGGCGCGUAGGCGGCUUUGUAACGUUAGAGGUGAAAGCCCGGGAGACUCAACUCCGGAAUUGCCUUUAAGACUGCAUCGCUUAGAAUCAUGGAGAGGUGAGUGGAAUUCCGGAGUGUAGAGGUGAAAUUCGUAGAUAUUCGGAAAGAACACCAGUGGCGAAGGCGACUCACUGGACAUG
rnacentral:rRNA from 1 species